CCUACGGGAGGCAGCAGUGAGGAAUAUUGGUCAAUGGGCGCGAGUCUGAACCAGCCAAGUCGCGUGAGGGAAGACGGUCCUAUGGAUUGUAAACCUCUUUUGUCGGGGAGCAAAAGACGCCACGCGUGGCGUUCCGAGAGUACCCGAAGAAAAAGCAUCGGCUAACUCCGUGCCAGCAGCCGCGGUAAUACGGAGGAUGCGAGCGUUAUACGGAUUUAUUGGGUUUAAAGGGUGCGCAGGCGGAAGAUCAAGUCAGCGGUAAAAUUGAGAGGCUCAACCUCUUCGAGCCGUUGAAACUGGUUUUCUUGAGUGAGUGAGAAGUAUGCAGAAUGCGUGGUGUAGCGGUGAAAUGCAUAGAUAUCACGCAGAACUCCGAUUGCGAAGGCAGCAUACCGGCGCUCAACUGACGCUCAUGCACGAAAGUGUGGGUAUCGAACAGGAUUAGAUACCCGUGUAGUC
rnacentral:rRNA from 1 species